GAUGAAGAACGUAGCGAAAUGCGAUACGUAGUGUGAAUUGCAGAAUUCAGUGAAUCAUCGAAUCUUUGAACGCACAUUGCGCCCCUUGGUAUUCCGGGGGGCAUGCCUGUUCGAGCGUCAUUAUAACCCCUCAAGCUCGGCUUGGUGUUGGGGCCUGCCGACUGGCAGCCCUUAAAAUCAGUGGCGGCGCCAUCUGGCUCUAAGCGUAGUAAUUUCUCUCGCUAUAGAGUCCCGGUGGAUGCUUGCCAGCAACCCCCAACUUUCUAUGGUUGACCUCGGAUCAGGUAGGGAUACCCGCUGAACUUAAGCAUAUCAAUAAGCGGAGGA
rnacentral:misc_RNA from 1 species